CAAGGAUAUGACUGCCAUUAUGUCUUCAAGAUCUUCAAGCAACCGCUCAUCGCAUAAUGAAGUAAUAGUUAACGGCCCCAUCCUCUCGUGUUCCAUUUCCGAUAACUCUACCAAAUUGGCCACACCGAUUCAGCUGACCUUUGAACAUGGACAGACAAACUACACCAAUGCUACAUGCAACUUCUGGAUGUUUAGG